GAUGAAGAACGUAGCGAAAUGCGAUAAGUAAUGUGAAUUGCAGAAUUCAGUGAAUCAUCGAAUCUUUGAACGCACAUUGCGCCCGCCAGUAUUCUGGCGGGCAUGCCUGUUCGAGCGUCAUUACAACCCUCAGGCCCCCGGGCCUGGCGUUGGGGAUCGGCGGAAGCCCCCUGCGGGCACAACGCCGUCCCCCAAAUACAGUGGCGGUCCCGCCGCAGCUUCCAUUGCGUAGUAGCUAACACCUCGCAACUGGAGAGCGGCGCGGCCACGCCGUAAAACACCCCACUUCUGAAUGUUGACCUCGAAUCAGGUAGGAAUACCCGCUGAACUUAAGCAUAUCAAUAAGCGGAGGA
rnacentral:misc_RNA from 1 species